GUCGAACGGACUCAUAUUGAAACCUAGUGAUUUAUGAGUUAGUGGCGCACGGGUGAGUAACGCGUGGAUAACCUGCCGUAUACCGGGGGGUAACACUUAGAAAUAGGUGCUAAUACCGCAUAAGCGCACGGCUCCGCAUGGGGCAGUGUGAAAAACUCCGGUGGUAUACGAUGGAUCCGCGUCUGAUUAGCUAGUUGGCGGGGUAACGGCCCACCAAGGCAGCGAUCAGUAGCCGGCCUGAGAGGGUGGACGGCCACAUUGGGACUGAGACACGGCCCAAACUCCUACGGGAGGCAGCAGUGGGGAAUAUUGCACAAUGGGGGAAACCCUGAUGCAGCGACGCCGCGUGAGUGAAGAAGUAUCUCGGUACGUAAAGCUCUAUCAGCAGGGAAGAAAAUGACGGUACCUGACCAAGAAGCCCCGGCUAACUACGUGCCAGCAGCCGCGGUAAUACGUAGGGGGCAAGCGUUAUCCGGAUUUACUGGGUGUAAAGGGAGCGUAGACGGCAGCACAAGUCUGGAGUGAAAUCCCGGGGCUUAACCCCGGAACUGCUUUGGAAACUGUGCGGCUGGAGUGCAGGAGGGGUAAGCGGAAUUCCUAGUGUAGCGGUGAAAUGCGUAGAUAUUAGGAGGAACACCGGUGGCGAAGGCGGCUUACUGGACUGUAACUGACGUUGAGGCUCGAAAGCGUGGGGAGCAAACAGGAUUAGAUACCCUGGUAGUCCACGCCGUAAACGAUGAUUACUAGGUGUCGGGGGACCAAGGUCCUCCGGUGCCGGCGCAAACGCAUUAAGUAAUCCACCUGGGGAGUACGUUCGCAAGAAUGAAACUCAAAGGA
rnacentral:rRNA from 1 species